CCGGCGCACGGGUGAGUAACGCGUAUGUAACUUACCUAUCAGGAGGGGACGAACCGGACGAAGUCGGACUAAUACCGCAUAAAGCAGGGAUCCCGCAUGGGAAUAUUUGCUAAAGAUUCAUCGCUGAUAGAUAGGCAUGCGUUCCAUUAGGCAGUUGGCGGGGUAACGGCCCACCAAACCGACGAUGGAUAGGGGUUCUGAGAGGAAGGUCCCCCACAUUGGUACUGAGACACGGACCAA
rnacentral:rRNA from 1 species